rnacentral:lncRNA from 1 species
AUCUGAAAAUAUGACUUUGGCUGUUUGUCAUCAAGUCCAGUUCUAUUGUCUUGUUCUAUCCGAAAAUCAAUAAAAUAUGGUUUUAAAUAAAGUCUGUGUCUGAGGAAUGAACAGAGAAUCCUGAUGUGGAACAUUCCUCUCGCAAGUCAAGACAGCAAUCAACAGUGGACCAGUGAUAAAAGAGGACAGAGUCCUGAACCUUUAAUAACUAUGAAGAAAGAGGCUUUUCAUCAGGUGCAAGGGGACCCAAUGCAGUGAUUCUCUGAAAAACAUUAAGCAGGUGUGUUUGACUAAAUAUAUAUAAGCUGGAGAAAUACUCCUUCCUUCCUUCCUUCCUCCCUUCCUCUUUCCCUUUCUCACUCCUUUUUUUCUGAUGGCUAACUUAAGCAAAUGCCUUUAUACAUAAGAACUUAUUU